GUAGGGAAUCUUCCACAAUGGACGAAAGUCUGAUGGAGCAACGCCGCGUGAGUGAAGAAGGUCUUCGGAUCGUAAAACUCUGUUGUUAGAGAAGAACGUGCAUGAUAGUAACUGAUCAUGUAAUGACGGUAUCUAACCAGAAAGCCACGGCUAACUACGUGCCAGCAGCCGCGGUAAUACGUAGGUGGCAAGCGUUGUUCGGAUGUAUUUGGCGUAAAGGGAACGAAGGCGGUUUUUUAAGGCUGAUGUGAAAGGCUUCGGCUUAACCGAAGGAUAGCAUUAGAAACUGGAAGACUUGAGUGCAGAAGAGGAGAGUGGAAUUCCAUGUGUAACGGUGAAAUGCGUAGAUAUAUGGAGGAACACCAGUGGCGAAAGCGGCUCUCUGGUCUGUAACUUACGCUGAGGUUCGAAAGCGUGGGUAGCAAACAGGAUUAGAUACCCGGGUAGUCC
rnacentral:rRNA from 1 species